AUUGAACGCUGGCGGAAUGCCUUACACAUGCAAGUCGAACGGUAGAGGGGGCAACCCCUCGAGAGUGGCGAACGGGUGAGUAAUAUAUCGGAACGUGCCCAGUCGUGGGGGAUAACGUAGCGAAAGUUACGCUAAUACCGCAUACGAUCUAAGGAUGAAAGCGGGGGAUCGCAAGACCUCGCGCGAUUGGAGCGGCCGAUAUCAGAUUAGGUAGUUGGUGGGGUAAAGGCUCACCAAGCCAACGAUCUGUAGCUGGUCUGAGAGGACGACCAGCCACACUGGAACUGAGACACGGUCCAGACUCCUACGGGAGGCAGCAGUGGGGAAUUUUGGACAAUGGACGCAAGUCUGAUCCAGCCAUUCCACGUGCAGGAUGAAGGCCCUCGGGUUGUAAACUGCUUUUGUACGGAACGAAAAGGUCUCUCCUAAUACGAGGGGCUCAUGACGGUACCGUAAGAAUAAGCACCGGCUAACUACGUGCCAGCCGCCGCGGUAAAAC
rnacentral:rRNA from 1 species